rnacentral:lncRNA from 1 species
CCUUUGUUUUGAGUGUUCGAUUUUGUUCCUGGACAAAAUGUCCCUUUAAAACAGCUACCAACAUUUCAUAAUUCAUUGUUUGCCAUGAAAUCAGCGGGUUUGUAAUUUUGUUUCCUAGAUACCUUGAGAGCAGCCCAGGAGUGUCCUUGAUAAAGGAAAUGACUCUUCUAUUCACUGAAUGCUUAUUGUGAAUAGAGAAUCAAGACUGUUUCCAUCAUCAAUGUGUCCUGGGUUUAUCUGGUGUUCCAGCAAUUUCACUGAAUAGUGAGUCAUUAUUUAUUAAUAAUCUGCUGUGUAUCUGGAACUCACUACAUCAUCUCUUUCCCAUCAUAAGAAAAAGUGAAAGACUCAGUAUGUUCAGAAGGUCAGUACAAAACUCAACAGAAGAGGUAAGGAGAUGAGGAUGGGAUUCCACUAUUUUUAAUCUGAAGUUAGCUGUUGGUACACUUCCCUAAUUCUACAACUUUGCUCAGGGCAUUUCUUGAAUUACAGUCUCGGGGAAGGCUACUGCGUCUUACUGCAAGUAUAUAAAUCUCUGCUCCGGUUUAAUCUUGGGGAUCUCACAGCCUUUCUUUGGGAAGUCUGCUGUUUCAUAAAUAGGGA